AAUUUUCCCAAAAUUUCCCGCGCUAAAACCCUUAAUUUUUUCCUCUAAAAUCAGUAUCCUCCAAACACCCCCAAUCUCACCCCUCUGUUGCCCUUUUCAAUAAAGAAACUCUCCAACAACAGCGUCUCCAAGCUCUUAUCGAAGGUGCCCACGAUUACUCUGGCUCCGUUGUACUUGAAUGGGGCGAUUGGUAUUACACGGGUGAAGAGGAUAAAGGAAAAAGGAAGUUGAAAACUUUGUCUGCAGUUGCGAAGUAAUUCCUUGUGGAAAGAAGGAAUUUAUUGCAGAACUUCAUUCAGUAUUCUAUACACAGAUCUUCAAAAUCUGAGAGAAGAAAUUCAAUCCAAAAAAAGAAAAAAACCCCAAAAGGUGAGGAUUAAUGGGAGUUGGGAGUUGAUUUUUAUUAAUUUUUUCAAGUAAAAAAAAGAUGAAUUCACAAAAUCAAGUGGAGUCAACUCUGAAGGAAAUACUCGAAGUGGUCAAGCCGUUGCAUGAAGACUGGGUUACUCGGUUUAAGAUCAUCAAUGAACUGCAUGAAGUCAUUCAAUCUAUCGAAAAUUUAAGAGCUUCCGUGGUGGGCUCUUAUCCUGCUUUGUCUUUCAAAGCGAGUUCACUCAAUAUUUGUGCUUCGUCUGUUUAAUGACUGUUUCGCAAUGACACUCCUCCAUGCUGCAAUGGGAUCUAUUCUUUUUGGAUGGUGGCAUUUGGGGUUGAUUAUUUUUAGGUACUAUGCUUAUUUUAUCAGUAGCUUUUUCCCCUUCUAAGAAGGAAAAGAAAAGAAGUGGAUCCUACUUUGCCUCUUUUUUUAUGUGUAGUGCUGCCCUAUCGAUAAAGAUGAAUGUCCUACUCUAUGCUCCAUCUCUUUUUAUACUCAUGCUAAAGGCUAUGAGUAUCAGUGGGGUAAUAUCAGCUUUAGCUGGUGCGGCACUUGUGCAGGUGAGUUGGACUACUACACUUAAUGUUUGUAGCAGGGGACAUUGCCUGCCAGUGUGUUGAUUCUUUUCUACAUACUCGGUAAAGGGUUCUGCAGAUUGUGCUGGGGCUGCCAUUUUUAUUAUCAUUUCUAGUUGAAUAUAUAUCACGAGCCUUUAAUCUUGGACGUGUCUUCAUCCACUUCUGGUCUUUCAACUUCAAGUUUGUUCCCGGAACCUUUCAAUUUUCAAUGUUGUUUAGGUUCGCAAACAAGAUACUGUAUUUGGACUUGCUGUUAGUAAAAGACUUGCUGUAUUUUAUUUAUAUCUUUAUAUUUAAUCUAAUUUUUAUUAUUUAUUUUA